rnacentral:miRNA from 1 species
CUUCCUUCAUGUCCCUGUUCAGGUGCCACCUGCAACGGACCGCUCAAGCAGAGGAGCAGCAGAAAGGAUCAG